AACUGCAGUAGUGUUUACAAUUAAUUGAUCACAACCAGUUACAGACUUCUUUGUCCUUCUCCACGCCCACUGCUUCACUU
rnacentral:sRNA from 1 species